UACGAAGGGGGCUAGCGUUGCUCGGAAUCACUGGGCAUAAAGCGCACGUAGGCGGAUUGUUAAGUCAGGGGUGAAAUCCUGGAGCUCAACUCCAGAACUGCCUUUGAUACUGGCGAUCUUGAGUCCGGGAGAGGUGAGUGGAACUCCGAGUGUAGAGGUGAAAUUCGUAGAUAUUCGGAAGAACACCAGUGGCGAAGGCGGCUCACUGGCCCGGUACUGACGCUGAGGCACGAAAGCGUGGGGAGCAAACAGG
rnacentral:rRNA from 1 species